CUGAGAACACAGGUUUGAUCCCUGAUCCGGGAAGAUCCCACAUGCUGUGGAGCAGCUAAGCCAUGCGCCACGACUAUCCGGCCUGCGCUCUAGAACCUGGAAGCUGCAACUACGCAAGCCCUAGAGCUGGUAGUCUGCAACAAGAGAAGCCUGCGCACCGCGGCUGGAGAGCAGCCCCUUUCUCUGCAGCUAGAGGAGAGCAGCCCCUUUCUCUGCAGCUAGAGGAGAGCAGCCCCUUUCUCUGCAGCUAGAGGAGAGCAGCCCCUUUCUCUGCAGCUAGAGGAGAGCAGCCCCUUUCUCUGCAGCUAGAGGAGAGCAGCCCCUUUCUCUGCAGCUGGAGAGCAGCCCCUUUCUCUGCAGCUAGAGGAGGGCCCACACAGCAACGAAGACCCAGUGCAGCCAAAGGCAGGCCUCUGGGGUUUCCACGCUUCCUGUGGGAUUGACCCCUAUGUCUGUGACAACCACAGAGGCUGUUCCAACUCAGCUGAUAAAACUUUGGCAAAGAUUUAGGCUUCAGUCCCUCU
ensembl:lncRNA